rnacentral:lncRNA from 1 species
UGAUUUGGUUCGCCAUGGGAGCGCAGGGCUCAGUGCAGCAGGACGGGAAGAGCCAGGAGGAUGCGUCGGCUUCAGCCUCAGCCUCCGCGGGGGAGCUGAGCGCGGAGGUGAACGUGAUCCAGGAGGGAGGCAGCGUCCUGGAGGGCAAGUCUUUGCAGAAAAAUGGACAAAUCUCAAGCAUGACCAGUCUGAAUGGACACUCAGAGGACAACACGCUGGCAGAAGGUGCGUGUGUGUGUGUUUGUGUCUGUGUGUCUUAUCCGUCAGUGGUGUUUAUUUACAGUGUGUGGCUUUGGGUGUUCCUGUGGUCGGUGGGGUAAGUAGUUGCGAUGUUUGUUUGGGAUUGUGUCUGGGAUUUUGUACUGUUUCUUCAGCAGUGGCAGGAGGUAAGCUUGUUUGUGUGGGGUCAGUUUUCAGUGAGCCUGUGUGUGUGGGUGUGUGUCUGUGUGAGUGCAGAUUCUUUCCUGUAGAUGUCUUGCGAGAUCUACUUGAUCCUUAACUAAUCCGUUUCUCAAAACAUAGGGGACACCUACAUUGGAUUUUCACAUAGGAGCCACACACACACGCAGCUUACUCUUUCUCUAUUUCACUUCACUCUUUCUUAACUUGCGUACACACACCCAUUUUAUAAAGUUAUAGUCCUACUUGAUCUUAGUGUAAGGCUGUGCUUGAGGGCAGAUGCAAGAAGAAUUUGUGAUCAGAUCAUACCCCUGUAUGAAACAGAAAUAUCACUUUAAGUUUGUCAAAACAUUAAAGGAGUGCCAGUUUUUAUAAUAAAAUGUUUCUUUCUGAACCUCCCACCACCUUUGCACAGAGCUAGAAAUCCAUCCGUCUGUCGAAGAAGCGAAUGGACACAGAAGUAGGCCUCAUUUGUCUCACUGUUUAAAGGACUUGUCAAAACAUUGUUUUUAUGGAAUAGAAAUAUUUAAAGAGGACUGUCUGUGGUCUUGUGGAAGCUACUCAAAACGACUCAACGAACAUUUUCAGGUCAGUAAUCUGAGAUAGCCAUUAACCGGUAAUAACGGGCAAAAUUAAUUUCUGCCACUUAAAUUAAACAUUAACAUUAACCUGCUCUG